CCGCCCGCCCCGGCUCCCCGGCUGCAUUUCAAGCAGGUUCGGUGACGCUUGGCGGCGGGGCGGGCUCAGACUGGGCGCGCGGCCCCGGCCCUGGGCGGCCGCCGCCGGCGCGCGCGCUCCCUCCCGCCGCCUUCUCCGCCCCACGCUCCUCCCGCAGCGCCUCUUCUCCUCCCCCUCCAGCCCGCGGUCCCCUCCUCCUCCUCUCUCGGCGAGACCCCGGCAACCCUGCGCUCGGUGCGCUCCUGUUGUGGGCGCUGCCGACACAGGGAUGAGCCAGGCUAGGCCCUGGCCCCCUGGUUUCCCCGCGGAGGUGGCAAGCGGAUGAGAGAAGGAGGGAUGUGGAGGAAAAAAGCUGGGGCUCGAGGGAAGGUGAUGUUGUUCCAGACGCACAGGCCCGUGCGGUGGACGCGGGAAGACUGAAAGCAUUGGCAGGGAGAAGCUAGGGGUGUGGGGCAGGACCUCUGCACCUGUCGUGGCUUCAGAUCAGACGAGUAGCUGCUUUCUACGGCCAUGUGCAUCUGUGACUGCUAUACCCUGUGUGAUCCUGGGCAGAGAUGUGAGGCAGCUGUCUUGGGUCUGACGCCCAGACUGUUCUCCACAUUCAGCCUUCUGCACUGGCCCAGACAGAGAAGCAGAUCAGGGGCUUUGCAGGUACGGCAAAGAAAAGAAAGGCAGGGGACUGUGGAGGCCCAGAGGAGGGCUGUGUCAUCCCUGCCACCAGAGGCCGCACUUCUAGCUCCUCUGCUUGGGCCGCACUAGCCUCUGCACAAAGAAGGCAGGGCAGCCCCACCUCUCCUACAGGGCGAAGCUUGCACUAGCUUUCAGCCACCUGCUGGUGAGCCUGGCCCACCCUUCAGAGAGUGAGAUUCUUGGGCAUUCGUGGUAAACCAGGCCCACUGAGGGUGCCAAGGUCCAGUGUUAAAUCGGCCCCCUCUCUUCAGAAAAAAAAAAAGGGUGGACGCUGUGAUGCCUCGGCCAGGAAGGCACAGAGUCAGCGGCUGUCUCAGUCUUACAGUCUUCCCCCACAAAGAGUAGCCCAUGGCUAUGGCCACCCCACCAGAAAAGAACAGAGACCUUGGGAGACCAUAUGAUGCCCCUGCCUUCAUCCCUUGAUCAUGUCCAGGCCCCAGGCUGGCUCUGGAAGUCCCAGCCACAGUGAGGUAUCUUCUGUUGACUUCACCAACAGAAGGUAAGAAAAUGUAACAGAAACACCUCCGUAGCGUGUGCUGUGGGUCAGGCUCUGUUCAAGGCUCAAGGCUGCAGAAUGGCAAAGAGAAAGCAGCCCAGAAGGACUCUGGACAACCGCCACUGACACAAUUGCCUUUGACUGCAGGACCUUUUGUAGAAAGAAAGACACUCGGCCCCUGAGAGGGACACAGGACAAGAGUCACAGAAGAGGACAAACUCGGGCUCCAUCUCUUGCUCCUCAACCAAGUGCUGUCAGGAGACAGCUGGGGACACCACUCCUCCCCCAUUGCCUCUGCCAAACUCUCUUUCUCCAGGUUUUCAGUCCCUGCCCCUAACCCCUGGGGUUGGAUUAGGUCAGUAUUUCCUGUGUCUUCUGUCAUACCCUUCCCCAUUAAAUGAGGUUUCCCAUUUCCAGGAGUCUCCUCAACUACCCUCCUCCUGAGUCUUCUCCCAGGAUCUAGGGAGGGUUGGUCCAGGGACACUCUUCCCAGGGAUACAAAAACCAAUGGAUAGCCAGGCAAAGUGGCACACCCCGACACUUGGCAAGUGGCACAAGGAAAUAGUGAGUUCUAGGCCAGCCUGGAGUACACACAGAGACCCUGUUUCAAAACAAGAAAAGACAAAUAUAUAAAAUGACUCCAUAUUCACAUCUAACCUAAGUACAUCUUCUUGAACACUCGGCUAAAUCACCUGCAGCAUGUUUAGACUACCUAACCCAAUGUGAAUGCUCUGUAGAUGUUCUGCUGUAUUGUUUAGGAACAACAACAACAAGGAGAAUAUCCGUAUGUGUUCAGUAGAUACCUGUUUUUAUAUAGUAUUUUGCUGUCCAUGGUUGAUUGAAUCUGAGGAUUGAAACUCAUGCAUAUGAAGCGCCCACUGUAUUUUCCUGAAAUCCUCUCACUUAAUAAACUUCGCUUCAUCCUAAGCAAUAAUCUCCGUGAAAUUACAGGUUUGAUAUGUGGAUUGCAUUUCCAAAACACAUUAAAAUGAAUGUGAGGCUCUGACAGUGGAUGACAGAGCCUCUGUCCAGGGCAUGUUUCGCUAAGGGUUACUUUGAGGCACCCCAUUUGUUCUGGGAGAAAGGGUGCAGCACCAGAGCCCUGACCACUCUGCUCAUAAUAGAGGGUGCUCUUCAAGGUGUCUUGGAAGUGGCCCAGGUCCUCGGCACCCAUGACCUAUGGGCCUUCAGAAGGGACAGUCAGCAGCUGCUUGUGUUUGCUUUUGAUUCAGAUUACUGUUUGCUUAAUUAUCUUUUACACAACUUUUAAAAUUUAGUCUAUUGUAAUGUGUGCAAAUGUUUCUCCUGCAUGUGUGUCUGUGUACCACGUGCAUGCUUGGUGCUUGCAGAGGCCAGAAGAGGGCAUUGGAUCCCCUGGAACUGGAGUUGUAACAGUUACAGAUGAUUGUAAGCCACUUAACAUGAGUUCUCUGAAAGAGCAGCCAGAGCUCAAAACCUCUGAGCUAUCUCUUCAGCCCUUAAUCCAAGUUGCAUUUGCAUGCAGUUGAUGAAAAACUUAAAUCACUGGGUUCCCACUUCCUUUUCCCAUAGGCAGCUGCUAUUAACUUGGGGCUGAAUCAUUUGGUAGGUAUCUACAUCAUUAAAUAACACAACUCUUUCUGUUAUAUUUAUUUUAAUUACUUUUUUAGUGUGUGUGUGUGUGCAUGCACAUGUGUGCCAAGGCAUGCAUGUAGAAGUCAGAGGACAGCUUGUGGGAGCUGGUUCUCUCCUUCCACUGUGUGGGUCCUGGGAAUCAAGCUCAGGUGGUCAGGUUGGCAGCAGGCAUGCUUACCCAGGUCAUCUCACUGGCAAGGAAACAGGCAGCCUGGAUGCAUCCAUUUCUCUCUGCUCUUGACUGUGGAUUGAGGCUUCGAGUUCCUGCCUUGACUUCCCACAAUGGCGACUGUAAUGUGGAAUUUCAAGCUCCCUUCUCUCCUCUGAGUCACUUUGAGCAGUUAGAGCAGUGGUUCUCAACCUUCCUAAUGCUACGACCCUUUAAUACAAUUCCUCGUGUUGGGGUGACCCCCAACCACAAAAUUAUUUUCAUUGCUAUUUUAUAACUGUAAUUUUGCUGCUCUUAUGAAUCAUAAUGUAAACACCUGUGUUUUCCAAUGGUCUCAGGAGACUCCUGUGAAAGGGUCAGUCGACCCUCAAAGGGGUCACGACCUAUAGGUGGUGAACCGUUGGUUAGAGUGUUUUAUCAUAGCAACACAAGUGAAACUAGACCAAGAGCAUUGUGUUCACAUGGUUGUGAAACCAUCACCACCAUCCACACCCAUCAAACAGUAGCUCCCAUUCCCACCCCAACUCCUGCCAAUCAUCACUCCACUUCCUGUUUCAGUCAAUUCAACUAUUCAAGGAAGUGGAAGCAUGCAUUAUUUUUCCUUUGGGGCCUGGCUGUGUCACUUAUCUCAUGUCCUCAGGGUUCAUCCGUGUCGCAGCGUGUUCCAGGAUUCCUUCCAUUAUAAGGAUACAUAACAUUCCAUAUAUUCCACACUCAUCUAGCCAUGUGACCUCCACUGGUUCUAUUGUGUCCGUCGUGAGUGACGCUGGAGUGAACACAUGGGUUCACACGCUUGCAGUUAUUUGGGAUACGUCCAGACACGGACUUGCUGAGCCUUGUUGUGAGUGUAGUUUUAAUUUUUGAGGAGCCACGGUGCUAUUUCCACAGCAACACUUCCAUUUCACGUUCCCAUCCACAGUGUACAAGGUUUUCUAGUUUUCCCCAUCUCAGCCAAAAGUUACCAGUUUAUGGAUUUUUGUUAUUUGUUUUGUUGAGUUUUGAAAAUAUAAUAGCUGUCCUAAUGAGUGUGAGGUUAUCCUUUUAAUUGUGGUUUGAAUUCGCAUUGCUAAUGAUCAGCGAUAAUGAGCAUAUUUUCAUGUGCUUAUUGCCCAUUUGUUUAUCUUGUUUGGAUAAAUGUCUAUUCAAGUCUUUUGCUCAAUUUUAAAUCAAGAUGGGGUGCUUUUAAUGGUUGCUACUAUUCAGUUGUAGGAAUUCCUGAAUUUCUUCUUUUUUCCUUAAAGAUUUUAUUAUUUGUGUGUGUGUGUGUGUGUUUGUGUGUGUGUGUGUGUGUGUGUGUGUGUGUGUGUGUGUGUGUGUGUGUGUGUGUGGUGUCUGUCUGUCUGUGUCUGUGUAGGUAUAUGUGCAUGUGAGUGCAGGUUCCCUUGGAAUCCACAGGAGGGCAUUGUACCCACGGGAACUAGAGUUACAGGCAGGUUCUGAGUUGCCCGAGACAAGAACCAGAAUUUAAACUCAGGUUCUCUGCUCGUGUAGUAAGUACAUGUUCUUACCCACUGAGCAUCUCUCCAGCCCAAUUCCUGUAGCUCAUAUAUUAGCCCCUCAUCAGUUGGAGAGUUGCGAGUGUUUUCCCCAUCCUGUAGAUGGCCUUUUCCCUCUGCUGACAGUCCUUUGCUAAGCGUUAUUUUAGAAUUUUUGCUGUAAUAAUUUAUCUACUUUUUCUUUUGUUUGCCGACCCUUUUAUUGUUUCAUUUUGCAAAGCUUUUUAUACGAUCAUAAAAAAAUAAAUAACAGUCACAGUGCACCAUGAUUAAUAUUUUUCUCACACA